rnacentral:rRNA from 1 species
UAUGUAGGGAGCGAGCGUUGUCCGGAAUUAUUGGGUGUAAAGGGAGCGUAGGCGGGAUUGUAAGUCAGAUGUGAAAUGUAGGGGCUCAAUCCCUGAGCUGCAUUUGAAACUGUAGUUCUUGAGUGAAGUAGAGGUAAGUGGAAUUCUUGGUGUAGCGGUGAAAUGUGUAGAUAUUAGGAGGAACACCGGUGGCGAAGGCGGCUUACUGGGCUUUUAUUGACGCUGAGGCUCGAAAGCGUGGGGAGCAAAC